CAUGAUGGACUAUUGGACAGGACUGCUGCUUCUAACUGUCUGCUGGGCAGGUGUUGAUGGUCAGACUCUGACAGAAUCUGAACCAGCAGUUAAAAGUCCUGGAGGAUCUCACAGAUUGACCUGUACAGUCUCUGGAUUUGAUGUUAGUGGCUACUGGAUGGGCUGGAUCAGACAGGCUCCUGGAAAAGGACUGGAGUGGCUCGCUUUGAAUCAUGGUACCACCAACCACUACUCUCAGUCAGUCAGAGGCCGGUUUACCAUCUCCAGAGACAACAGCAGACAGCAGCUGUAUCUGCAGAUGAACAGUCUGAAGACUGAAGAUUCUGCUGUUUAUUAUUGUGCUCGAGAGCCACAGUGA